rnacentral:rRNA from 1 species
GACGAACGCUGGCGGCGUGCCUAAUACAUGCAAGUUGAGCGCUGAAGGUUGGUACUUGUACCAACUGGAUGAGCAGCGAACGGGUGAGUAACGCGUGGGGAAUCUGCCUUUGAGCGGGGGACAACAUUUGGAAACGAAUGCUAAUACCGCAUAAAAACUUUAAACACAAGUUUUAAGUUUGAAAGAUGCAAUUGCAUCACUCAAAGAUGAUCCCGCGUUGUAUUAGCUAGUUGGUUAGGUAAAGGCUCACCAAGGCGAGGAUACAUAGCCGACCUGAGAGGGUGAUCGGCCACAUUGGGACUGAGACACGGCCCAAACUCCUACGGGAGGCAGCAGUAGGGAAUCUUCGGCAAUGGACGAAAGUCUGACCGAGCAACGCCGCGUGAGUGAAGAAGGUUUUCGGAUCGUAAAACUCUGUUGGUAGAGAAGAACGUUGGUGAGAGUGGAAAGCUCAUCAAGUGACGGUAACUACCCAGAAAGGGACGGCUAACUACGUG